CCUCCUGUUGUCAGCAGUGGGGAAUAUUGGACAAUGGGGGCAACCCUGAUCCAGCCAUGCCGCGUGUGUGAAGAAGGCCCUCGGGUUGUAAAGCACUUUCAGUGAGGAAGAACGCCUGGUGGUUAAUACCCAUCAGGAAAGACAUCACUCACAGAAGAAGCACCGGCUAACUCCGUGCCAGCAGCCGCGGUAAUACGGAGGGUGCGAGCGUUAAUCGGAAUUACUGGGCGUAAAGCGCGCGUAGGUGGCUUGAUAAGCCGGUUGUGAAAGCCCCGGGCUCAACCUGGGAACGGCAUCCGGAACUGGCAAGCUAGAGUGCAGGAGAGGAAGGUAGAAUUCCCGGUGUAGCGGUGAAAUGCGUAGAGAUCGGGAGGAAUACCAGUGGCGAAGGCGGCCUUCUGGACUGACACUGACACUGAGGUGCGAAAGCGUGGGUAGCAAACAGGAUUAGAUACCCUAGUAGUC
rnacentral:rRNA from 1 species